CAAAGGAAGCAUGGCCGUGAUGCGAUUAUCAGUCUUUUUUCCAGCCUCUCGUAUUCGCCUUUUACUGAUCUCCGAUACCAGGCCACACCGACCUUGCAUGAUUCCCUGCAAAACUAGCGAUGGGAAAUUAAAGAAGCCACAUAUUUUAUGACAUCAAUCCUGUAAUAGAAUGCGUUAUUCUGCGUGCUGCGUCUGUGGGUGUGCGGUGGAACUCAACUAGCAGAAAUUUAACUUGUUGGGUUCUUGAUUCCAACUUCGAGAAGGGGGUCGUUUCCUUGCACUUUUUCACUGGGCUCUUGACUUCGUUUCAAGCAGUGGACGCACUGACUAAAUGGAAAUCAAUUUCCUGAACCCCAGUUCUGCAUCAUGAAAUUUCAUCAAUCUGAACAGAAAGUAGAAAAAAAAAGAAAAGAAAAGGAAACGAUAGAAAAGGUUACUCAAUCCAUCCGGCAAUGUGCUUCUCGUUUGCUUCACCUCUCGAAGCGCCGCGGAGUUCCAUGCCGUAUCGGCCACGAGCGCCGCCCACGCGAAAACGAAUUUGGCGGGGAGCACGUUUUCCGCCAUACCUGACCUUUAUGAACUGGAGUGCACCGCACCCGACUCGUGUGCGCGUUGGCGGUGGGGGAAUCGCGGGGAAGACUGGAAGAGGCAGCGAACCACCACCACCAGCGCGCGCGCGCGCGCCGCUCCCCCGAAGCGAAGCGUCGGACGCGACGCCUGACGUGACCGAAUCGGGGAGGGUCGCGUCACUCGUUUCACGCUCACCGCCGCACCACGCCACCACCGUCGGCCUCUCAGGUUCGCGGCUGGGCGGGCGGGUUCGCAGCGUUUGGCGCCACCAGCGGCGGCGUAUCGAGAUCGGAAUAAAUAUAUCUCCCCACGGGAGAAUGCGAUGCCUGCGGCCGCCGCCGCGUCGGCGGCGUCGGUGCGGGCGCGGGAGCGGGCGUGUGGCGUGGAGCAAAACGACGCGGGGGGCUUGGCAUCAUGGCAUGGUUCCUCACUUCCCCUUGCUUCCGCUGAUUCCCUUCCCGGCUGCCGGCUUCCCCAACUAGGCAACGAAACUGGAGAAGUGAGGAGACCCAUGGCGUCAAAACCAUGCUGGGAGAUGGAUCCCUCGGGGCUUGGGAGGUGUCAAGUGAUGCUCAGCGACCGCCAACCGCGGUUGGAGUUGCACAGGUUAGAGAAUCCUUUCUCAAGAGUAUCUGAUUUUAAUAAGUUUCCAAGAUUCCCACAAGUGAUACAGACUUGGCCUAUAUGCGGACACCAAAGAAAACAGAUCAUCAACAGGAGCAGCUCGAUGUAUGGCAUAAGCUCCUAGUAUUACACAACAAUUCCAUUUGCUGA